UUAGCCAGUUGGCAGGGUAACGGCCUACCAAAUCGACGAUCAGUAGCCGGCCUGAGAGGGUGGACGGCCACAUUGGGACUGAGACACGGCCCAAACUCCUACGGGAGGCAGCAGUGGGGAAUAUUGCACAAUGGGGGAAACCCUGAUGCAGCGACGCCGCGUGAGCGAAGAAGUAUUUCGGUAUGUAAAGCUCUAUCAGCAGGGAAGAAAAUGACGGUACCUGACUAAGAAGCCCCGGCUAACUACGUGCCAGCAGCCGCGGUAAUACGUAGGGGGCAAGCGUUAUCCGGAAUUACUGGGUGUAAAGGGAGUGUAGGCGGGAUGGUAAGUUAGGUGUGAAAUGCGGAGGCUCAACCUCCGAGCUGCACUUAAAACUGCUGUUCUUGAGUGAAGUAGAGGUUGGCGGAAUUCCCAGUGUAGCGGUGAAAUGCGUAGAUAUUAGGAGGAACACCAGUGGCGAAGGCGGCUUGCUGGACGAUGACUGACGUUGAGGCUCGAAAGCGUGGGGAGCAAACAGGAUUAGAUACCCUGGUAGUCCACGCAGUAAACGAUGAAUGCUGGCUGUCCGGGGGGACUGACCCCUGGGUGGCGAAGCGAAAGCGAUAAGCAUUCCACCUGGGGAGUACGCCGGCAACGGUGAAACUCAAAGGAAUUGACGGGGGCCCGCACAAGCGGAGGAACAUGUGGUUUAAUUCGAUGAUACGCGAGGAACCUUACCCGGGCUCAAACGGGGAGUGACUCAGGCAGAGACGCCUGUUUCCCACGGGACACUCCCCGAGGUGCUGCAUGGUUGUCGUCAGCUCGUGUCGUGAGAUGUUGGGUUAAGUCCCGCAACGAGCGCAACCCUUAUUGUUAGUUGCUACGCAAGAGCACUCUAGCGAGACUGCCGUUGACAAAACGGAGGAAGGUGGGG
rnacentral:rRNA from 1 species